rnacentral:rRNA from 1 species
UACGUAGGGGGCAAGCGUUAUCCGGAUUCACUGGGUGUAAAGGGAGCGUAGACGGCGACGCAAGUCUGGAGUGAAAGCCCGGGGCCCAACCCCGGGACUGCUCUGGAAACUGCGUCGCUGGAGUACGGGGGGGGCAGGCGGAAUUCCAGGUGUAGGAGUGAAAUCCGUAGAUAUCUGGAGGAACAUCAGUGGCGAAGGCGGCCACCUGGACCGGUAUUGACGCUGAGGCGCGAAAGCGUGGGGAGCAAACAGG